rnacentral:rRNA from 1 species
CGCUGAAGCCGACAGCUUGCUGUUGGUGGAUGAGUGGCGAACGGGUGAGUAACACGUGAGUAACCUGCCCCUGAUUUCGGGAUAAGCCUGGGAAACUGGGUCUAAUACCGGAUACGACCUUUCCUCGCAUGAGGGUUGGUGGAAAGUUUUUCGAUCGGGGAUGGGCUCGCGGCCUAUCAGCUUGUUGGUGGGGUAAUGGCCUACCAAGGCGACGACGGGUAGCCGGCCUGAGAGGGCGACCGGCCACACUGGGACUGAGACACGGCCCAGACUCCUACGGGAGGCAGCAGUGGGGAAUAUUGCACAAUGGGGGAAACCCUGAUGCAGCGACGCAGCGUGCGGGAUGACGGCCUUCGGGUUGUAAACCGCUUUCAGCAGGGAAGAAGCGAAAGUGACGGUACCUGCAGAAGAAGUACCGGCUAACUACGUGCCAGCAGCCGCGGUAAUACGUAGGGUACGAGCGUUGUCCGGAAUUAUUGGGCGUAAAGAGCUCGUAGGUGGUUGGUCACGUCUGCUGUGGAAACGCAACGCUUAACGUUGCGCGUGCAGUGGGUACGGGCUGACUAGAGUGCAGUAGGGGAGUCUGGAAUUCCUGGUGUAGCGGUGAAAUGCGCAGAUAUCAGGAGGAACACCGGUGGCGAAGGCGGGACUCUGGGCUGUAACUGACACUGAGGAGCGAAAGCAUGGGGAGCGAACAGGAUUAGAUACCCUGGUAGUCCAUGCCGUAAACGUUGGGCACUAGGUGUGGGGGACAUUCCACGUUCUCCGCGCCGUAGCUAACGCAUUAAGUGCCCCGCCUGGGGAGUACGGUCGCAAGGCUAAAACUCAAAGGAAUUGACGGGGG